rnacentral:snRNA from 1 species
UUGCUUCAACAGCAUAUAUACUAAAAUUGGAAAAAUACAGAGAAGAUUCUCAUGGCCCCGUGCAGAUGACAAGCAGAUUAGUGAAGCAUUUCAUAUUUUU